UGGUCUGAACGGGCACAAAAAUUCAAGCAGGGAAUGUCACUGCUUCUGUACGUAAUUCCUCAGCAAGAAAUCGUAUAGACAAUUCUAGAAGUACGUUGAUGUGUUGUGCAAAUGUUUUCACAGCUAACGCCAACGCGCGACGGCAUCCAAAUGAUCUGACUCGUGAGAAGAUUUUAGCUUGUAUGCAAACUUUGAUGCUUAUAGAUUGUCGCCAAGACAACCUGUAUUUCUUGUGUUUAGUGUUCUGUUUGUUUUCGUGCCUUUGACACGUUUAAUAACCGCCUGUGAUGUAAGAAUGAAAUAUUUAUUUGUCUAAGCGGAUGCAGCUUCUUGUAGCUGGCUGUACGAGAGCUUUCCACAAUUUGACGCGAUGUUGUUAAAUCACAAGUUUGCAGAUUCAGCAGUGAUUACAAUAAGCUGAACAUUUAUUGUUUAGGAAUGUCACAAUUUACUGAGACGGAGGCAUCUCUGCACCACAAAGGAGACUGCGGCACUAUGCAGCCUGAACAGCACGACAAAGCAUCUGAUCUGCCUGCUUUGACAAGAUGUGGCUGGGCCUGCAGAAAGAGUGUAAGCACACUACUGUGUUGCUGAUCAGUGCUGGUGCUGAUCUCUACGUCUGAGUUGGCCUCACAACGUCCGGGCGCCACUGUGCUUUGCUUCAUUGACAAGGUGUGGCUGGGCCUGCAGAAAAGCUGUAAGCAGACUGCAGUGUUGCUGAUCAGUGCUGAUCUCCACGUCCGAGUUGGUCCCACAAUAUCCAGGCACCACGGUGCUUUCACAAGAGGCAUACGAGCACUUUGUUUCAAAAACGCCAAGCACCGUGGAUACAGAGGCAAGGAGGCUGAAGGACCUGAACAAGCACCUGGCCACCAUGCUUCGGGAUGCAAAAUAAAGAUGGUUUGUGUUAA